rnacentral:rRNA from 1 species
UACGGAGGGAGCAAGCGUUACUCGGAAUUAUUGGGCGUAAAGGGCGCGUAGGCGAUCUGAAAAGUUCUGUGUGAAAGCCCACAUGUUAACUGUGGAAGUGCACAGAAAACUGUUGGAUUUGAGUUUCAGGAGAGGAAGGCAGAAUUCCCGGUGUAGCGGUGAAAUGCGUAGAGAUCGGGAGGAAUACCAGUGGCGAAGGCGAGGCGCUGGACCCUUUCUGACGCUGAGGCGCGAAAAGCCAGGGGAGCAAACGGG